CCCUCCAGACGGGGGCGGGACCCGGUCGCUGCUGUCCCUUGAGCAGCAAGACCCCUGCUAUGCGGUGCGCUUUAAGGUCGAACGGAUCCGGGAGUGCUCUUUUAUGCAAAAUCAAUGCAUGGCUGUUGAGGGUAACACCAGCGAAGAAAACAGAAGUUCUUGUUUCAAGGAGCUUAAUUUUCUAUUGGGAUUAGGCAGUGAACAAGGAAAUUGGUUUUAGGACCAAGAAAAUACCAAAUCUGCUGGAUGAUCAAGUGCCCUAUGUAAAAUGAGGACCCAGAUGACCCUGAAGAGUUAUAACACCGCA